GGUGAGGUAGCUCAGCUGGUGAGAGCGCCGGUCUCAUAAGCCGGAGGUCGAGGGUUCGACUCCCUCCCUCACUACCA
rnacentral:tRNA from 1 species